UACGAAGGGGGCUAGCGUUGCUCGGAAUCACUGGGCGUAAAGCGCACGUAGGCGGCUUCUUAAGUCAGGGGUGAAAUCCUGGAGCUCAACUCCAGAACUGCCUUUGAUACUGAGGAGCUUGAGUCCGGGAGAGGUGAGUGGAACUGCGAGUGUAGAGGUGAAAUUCGUAGAUAUUACGCAAGAACACCAGUGGCGAAGGCG
rnacentral:rRNA from 1 species